rnacentral:rRNA from 1 species
CGGUGAAUACGUUCCCGGACCUUGUACACACCGCCCGUCAAGCCAUGGAAGCCGGGUGUACCUAAAGUCGAUAACCGUAUGGAGUCGCCUAGGGUAAAACUGGUGACUGGGGCU